rnacentral:rRNA from 1 species
UACGUAGGGGGCUAGCGUUGUCCGGAUUUAUUGGGCGUAAAGAGCGUGUAGGCGGCCAGGUAGGUCUGCUGUGAAAACUCGAGGCUCAACCUCGAGACGUCGGCGGAAAGCAUCUGGCUAGAGUCCGGAAGAGGAGAGUGGAAUUCCUGGUGUAGCGGUGAAAUGCGCAGAUAUCAGGAAGAACACCCGUGGCGAAGGCGGCUCUCUGGGACGGUACUGACGCUGAGACGCGAAAGCGUGGGGAGCGAACAGG